CCCGGGCGGCUGCUAAUGCAGCGGCUUCCCCCCGACACACACGCACAAGUUAAGGCAAAGCGACAACACGGGGUCAAGGGCUGCGCAGCAGAUUUCAAAACUGGUAUUAUCAUUAUUACUUAGGCUCCUAUCCAUCGCGUAGCAUCAGAGAUCCCCCGAACAAAAAAGAGCGUCAGGAUUAAGCAGGACGUCGCCUCUGCACCGCGCCGCCAUCAGUUUAAAUGACAGCAGCGCUCGUGGGCCACAGCCGUGGACGGUGGGAAGUAGCGGGCGCUGCGCGGCCCCUGGGGCAGCGGGCUGAACUGACUGCCCUUCGCGCCUGCCGGAGCCUAAGUAUCCCCCACAGCCCUCCCGCUGUUUCCUGUUCUUGAUGAGCCUUGAGUCAGGAUGAGACUCCCAGCUUUUAUGUUUAAACUGCUUCCCACCCAUCCUAAUUGGAGGGAAAUGCUCCGAGAGAUGAACUCUAGGACAAAAAACCCAAAGGCAGAACACAAAGACCCACAAGCUAUUGGCACUGAACUGCAACAAGAUGCAAGCUUCUUUAUGUCUCAUAUUCAAGUGCAGUGGAUAAACACAGCAAGGUGGCAACUAUGGUUCUGUAACACGGAGCUUGCGAAGACCAGCCUUUUCACACUGGUAGCUCUUUAUAGUUAUUUAGUCGACAUCAUAGAGACCAAAACGUUGUCAGAACACCAGAAAAGUGCGGCGUCUGCCAGAAGUGGAGCCUAGACACAUGCAACACGGCAGCUUGAGCCACAACAUAAAUUCAUCAAACUGGAAAUGCAUAUCUAGAAAACAUAAAUGCAAUAUAUUUACCCCACUCAAACAGCCAAUAACUGAUCAGGUAAUGAACAUGGGUACUUGAAUUGUGGCAUCAAACCACUGCAAUUUGUAACCAGUGAAUUAGUAAAAUCAUUGGAAUUUGACGAUUCAUAUCUGCAUAACACUGUAGCUGUUAACCAAAUGACCUUACCACAGUCUAUACCUUAAAACCAAUUUAGCAACUAAAACAACCUUUUUCUUUUUUACAUUCAAUCACCUAGAAGACCUGAGUAAUCAAACUCACGUACUCCUGAACUUUAACAUCAGACAUAAAAUCUAGAAAUGACAGGUCAAGAUCUUCACAGACUGAGCUUGUGAUUGCUGGAACCACUGCUGUCAAACUAGUCUAAAAACUGAAGUUCAGCAUUACUAGCUUGAUGGGUGUUUAGUGAACAGAUCUUAGACACAUUUUAAGUAAACUUAAAUAUAGCCUUUCACAGUGCAUAGAAAGAGCACAAUAAAUACCAAAAAAGUUGUUAGGUACCA
rnacentral:lncRNA from 1 species